rnacentral:rRNA from 1 species
UGCUUACACAAGGGCAUCAACUCCCUGGUCGCCAUCACCUCCUGGGCCAUAUGGAAGCAUCGCAACGCCGUCCUCUUCGACAAGUCUCCCAACCUCCACACCAUCCUCGACGAUAUCAAGCAGGAGGCGAAACUAUGGGCCAGAGCCGGCGCAAAAGGGCUCGGCCGGAUUGUUCCUAUAACAUAA